rnacentral:rRNA from 1 species
AUUGAACGCUGGCGGCAGGCCUAACACAUGCAAGUCGAGCGGAUGAAGGGAGCUUGCUCCUGGAUUCAGCGGCGGACGGGUGAGUAAUGCCUAGGAAUCUGCCUGGUAGUGGGGGAUAACGUCCGGAAACGGGCGCUAAUACCGCAUACGUCCUGAGGGAGAAAGUGGGGGAUCUUCGGACCUCACGCUAUCCGAUGAGCCUAGGUCGGAUUAGCUAGUUGGUGGGGUAAAGGCCUACCAAGGCGACGAUCCGUAACUGGUCUGAGAGGAUGAUCAGUCACACUGGAACUGAGACACGGUCCAGACUCCUACGGGAGGCAGCAGUGGGGAAUAUUGGACAAAGGGCGAAAGCCUGAUCCAGCCAUGCCGCGUGUGUGAAGAAGGUCUUCGGAUUGUAAAGCACUUUAAGUUGGGAGGAAGGGCAGUAAGUUAAUACCUUGCUGUUUUGACGUUACCAACAGAAUAAGCACCGGCUAACUUCGUG